UUCCGGUUGAUCCUGCCGGACCUGACUGCUAUCGGAUUGAUACUAAGCCAUGCGAGUCAUUGCAGCAAUGCAAGGCAGACGGCUCAGUAACGCGUAGUCAACCUAACCUAUGGACGGGAAUAACCUCGGGAAACUGAGAAUAAUGCCCGAUAGAACACUAUAUCUGGAAUGGUUUGUGUUCCAAAUGAUUUAUCGCCGUAGGAUGGGACUGCGGCCUAUCAGUUUGUUGGUGAGGUAAUGGCCCACCAAGACUAUUACAGGUACGGGCUCUGAGAGGAGUAGCCCGGAGAUGGGUACUGAGACACGGACCCAGGCCCUAUGGGGCGCAGCAGGCGAGAAAACUUUGCAAUGUGCGAAAGCACGACAAGGUUAAUCCGAGUGGUUUGUGCUAAACGAACCUUUUGUCGGUCCUAGAAACACCGAUGAAUAAGGGGUGGGCAAGUUCUGGUGUCAGCCGCCGCGGUAAAACCAGCACCUCAAGUGGUCAGGAUGAUUAUUGGGCCUAAAGCAUCCGUAGCCGGCGCUAUAAGUUUUCGGUUAAAUCUGUACGCUCAACGUACAGGCUGCCGGGAAUACUGUAGCGCUAGGGAGUGGGAGAGGUAGACGGUACUCGGUAGGAAGGGGUAAAAUCCUUUGAUCUAUUGAUGACCACCUGUGGCGAAGGCGGUCUACCAGAACACGUCCGACGGUGAGGGAUGAAAGCUGGGGGAGCAAACCGGAUUAGAUACCCGGGUAGUCCCAGCUGUAAACUAUGCAAACUCAGUGAUGCAUUGGCUUGUGGCCAAUGCAGUGCUGCAGGGAAGCCGUUAAGUUUGCCGCCUGGGAAGUACGUACGCAAGUAUGAAACUUAAAGGAAUUGGCGGGGGAGCACCACAAGGGGUGAAGCCUGCGGUUCAAUUGGAUUCAACGCCGGA
rnacentral:rRNA from 2 species